AACGAACGUUAGCGGCGCGCCUAACACAUGCAAGUCGAACGCGACGGGGGCAACUCCGUUGAGUGGCGCACGGGUGAGUAACACGUAGGUAAUCUUCCCUCGAGUGGUGGAUAACCCUCCGAAAGGAGAGCUAAUACAGCAUGAGACCACGGCUUCGAAAGGGGCUGAGGUCAAAGCGGAGGAUCGUAAGACUUUCGCGCUUGAGGAUGAGCCUGCGGCCCAUCAGGUAGUUGGCGGGG
rnacentral:rRNA from 1 species